rnacentral:rRNA from 1 species
GACGUGCUAAUCUGCGAUAAGCGUCGGUAAGGUGAUAUGAACCGUUAUAACCGGCGAUUUCCGAAUGGGGAAACCCAGUGUGAUUCGUCACACUAUCAUUAACUGAAUCCAUAGGUUAAUGAGGCGAACCGGGGGAACUGAAACAUCUAAGUACCCCGAGGAAAAGAAAUCAACCGAGAUUCCCCCAGUAGCGGCGAGCGAACGGGGAGCAGCCCAGAGCCUGAAUCAGUGUGUGUGUUAGUGGAAGCGUCUGGAAAGGCGUGCGAUACAGGGUGACAGCCCCGUACACAAAAAUGCACAUACUGUGAGCUCGAUGAGUAGGGCGGGACACGUGGUAUCCUGUCUGAAUAUGGGGGGACCAUCCUCCAAGGCUAAAUACUCCUGACUGACCGAUAGUGAACCAGUACCGUGAGGGAAAGGCGAAAAGAACCCCGGCGAGGGGAGUGAAAAAGAACCUGAAACCGUGUACGUACAAGCAGUGGGAGCACGCUUAGGCGUGUGACUGCGUACCUUUUGUAUAAUGGGUCAGCGACUUAUAUUCUGUAGCAAGGUUAACCGAAUAGGGGAGCCGAAGGGAAACCGAGUCUUAACUGGGCGUUAAGUUGCAGGGUAUAGACCCGAAACCCGGUGAUCUAGCCAUGGGCAGGUUGAAGGUUGGGUAACACUAACUGGAGGACCGAACCGACUAAUGUUGAAAAAUUAGCGGAUGACUUGUGGCUGGGGGUGAAAGGCCAAUCAAACCGGGAGAUAGCUGGUUCUCCCCGAAAGCUAUUUAGGUAGCGCCUCGUGAAUUCAUCUCCGGGGGUAGAGCACUGUUUCGGCAAGGGGGUCAUCCCGACUUACCAACCCGAUGCAAACUGCGAAUACCGGAGAAUGUUAUUACGGGAGACACACGGCGGGUGCUAACGUCCGUCGUGAAGAGGGAAACAACCCAGACCGCCAGCUAAGGUCCCAAAGUCAUGGUUAAGUGGGAAACGAUGUGGGAAGGCCCAGACAGCCAGGAUGUUGGCUUAGAAGCAGCCAUCAUUUAAAGAAAGCGUAAUAGCUCACUGGUCGAGUCGGCCUGCGCGGAAGAUGUAACGGGGCUAAACCAUGCACCGAAGCUGCGGCAGCGACGCUUAUGCGUUGUUGGGUAGGGGAGCGUUCUGUAAGCCUGUGAAGGUGUGCUGUGAGGUAUGCUGGAGGUAUCAGAAGUGCGAAUGCUGACAUAAGUAACGAUAAAGCGGGUGAAAAGCCCGCUCGCCGGAAGACCAAGGGUUCCUGUCCAACGUUAAUCGGGGCAGGGUGAGUCGACCCCUAAGGCGAGGCCGAAAGGCGUAGUCGAUGGGAAACAGGUUAAUAUUCCUGUACUUGGUGUUACUGCGAAGGGGGGACGGAGAAGGCUAUGUUGGCCGGGCGACGGUUGUCCCGGUUUAAGCGUGUAGGCUGGUUUUCCAGGCAAAUCCGGAAAAUCAAGGCCGAGGCGUGAUGACGAGGCACUACGGUGCUGAAGCAACAAAUGCCCUGCUUCCAGGAAAAGCCUCUAAGCAUCAGGUAACAUCAAAUCGUACCCCAAACCGACACAGGUGGUCAGGUAGAGAAUACCAAGGCGCUUGAGAGAACUCGGGUGAAGGAACUAGGCAAAAUGGUGCCGUAACUUCGGGAGAAGGCACGCUGAUACGUAGGUGAAGCGACUUGCUCGUGGAGCUGAAAUCAGUCGAAGAUACCAGCUGGCUGCAACUGUUUAUUAAAAACACAGCACUGUGCAAACACGAAAGUGGACGUAUACGGUGUGACGCCUGCCCGGUGCCGGAAGGUUAAUUGAUGGGGUUAGCGCAAGCGAAGCUCUUGAUCGAAGCCCCGGUAAACGGCGGCCGUAACUAUAACGGUCCUAAGGUAGCGAAAUUCCUUGUCGGGUAAGUUCCGACCUG